rnacentral:rRNA from 1 species
GAACCCAACAUCUUUAAUAGGAUGUUACGAUUGUGUGAAUACAUAGCACAUUCGAGGUAGACGCAGAGAACUGAAACAUCUAAGUACCUGCAGGAAGAGAAAGAAAAUUCGAUUCCCUGAGUAGCGGCGAGCGAAACGGGAAAAGCCCAAACCAGCAAGCUUGCUUGUUGGGGUUGUAGGACUCCAAUAUGGUAGUUCUUUCAGAUAGUCGAAUGACUUGGAAAAGUCAGUCAAAGAGGGUAAAAACCCCGUAGACGAAAUGUGGAAGACACCUAGGAGGAUCCUGAGUACGGCGGAACACGAGAAAUUCCGUCGGAAUCCGGGAGGACCAUCUCCCAAGGCUAAAUACUCCCUAGUGACCGAUAGUGAACCAGUACCGUGAGGGAAAGGUGAAAAGCACCCCGGAAGGGGAGUGAAAUAGAACCUGAAACCGUGUGCCUACAACAAGUCAAAGCCCGUUAAUGGGUGAUGGCGUGCCUUUUGUAGAAUGAACCGGCGAGUUACGAUUGCAUGCGAGGUUAAGUUGAAGAGACGGAGCCGCAGCGAAAGCGAGUCUGAAUAGGGCGUUUGAGUAUGUAGUCGUAGACCCGAAACCAUGUGAUCUACCCAUGUCCAGGUUGAAGGUGCGGUAAAACGCACUGGAGGACCGAACCCACGUACGUUGAAAAGUGCGGGGAUGAGGUGUGGGUAGCGGAGAAAUUCCAAACGAACUUGGAGAUAGCUGGUUCUCUCCGAAAUAGCUUUAGGGCUAGCCUCGGAAUUGAGAAUGAUGGAGGUAGAGCACUGUUUGGACUAGGGGCCCAUCUCGGGUUACCGAAUUCAGAUAAACUCCGAAUGCCAUUCAUUCAUAUCCGGGAGUCAGACUGUGAGUGAUAAGAUCCAUAGUCGAAAGGGAAACAGCCCAGACCACCAGCUAAGGUCCCAAAAUAUAUGUUAAGUGGAAAAGGAUGUGGGGUUGCACAGACAACUAGG